rnacentral:rRNA from 1 species
AAUAGAUACCCGGGUAGUCCACGCCGUAAACGAUGAGUGCUAAGUGUUAGGGGGUUUCCGCCCCUUAGUGCUGCAGCUAACGCAUUAAGCACUCCGCCUGGGGAGUACGGUCGCAAGACUGAAACUCAAAGGAAUUGACGGGGGCCCGCACAAGCGGUGGAGCAUGUGGUUUAAUUCGAAGCAACGCGAAGAACCUUACCAGGUCUUGACAUCCUCUGACAAUCCUAGAGAUAGGACGUCCCCUUCGGGGGCAGAGUGACAGGUGGUGCAUGGUUGUCGUCAGCUCGUGUCGUGAGAUGUUGGGUUAAGUCCCGCAACGAGCGCAACCCUUGAUCUUAGUUGCCAGCAUUCAGUUGGGCACUCUAAGGUGACUGCCGGUGACAAACCGGAGGAAGGUGGGGAUGACGUCAAAUCAUCAUGCCCCUUAUGACCUGGGCUACACACGUGCUACAAUGGACAGAACAAAGGGCAGCGAAACCGCGAGGUUAAGCCAAUCCCACAAAUCUGUCCUCAGUUCGGAUCGCAGUCUGA